rnacentral:rRNA from 1 species
ACGACUCUCGGCAACGGAUAUCUCGGCUCUCGCAUCGAUGAAGAACGUAGCGAAAUGUGAUACCUGGUGUGAAUUGCAGAAUCCCGCGAACCAUCGAGUCUUUGAAUGCAAGUUGCGCCCGAGGCCACCCGGUCGAGGGCAUGCCUGCCUGGGCGUCAUGC